CGCGAUGUAACAAAUUGCUUUACUGCACUACACACACGCCUGUACUAGCUAGAACAAGGUAGCGAUGGAGUUUCUCAGUCAUUCGUCAUGGCAGAGCCAGCGAAAAGAAGCAGAAAGCGAGUAAACCGUUGUCGGAGGAACAGGGAAAGCGGAAACUGCAGACCGACCGAUUGAGGAGCCUCGUGUAGGGGAAGAG